UGAAUAUGCUGGUUCUUGUUAGAUCACCGAAGUCAAGCAUCAUUGGGCGCUGUCAGUACUUGGGUGGGUGACCACCUGGAAACACCACAAGCCGUU